UGAGAAGCUGCACGGGAGAAGCUCCAGUGUGACCUGAAGCCCUUGCCGGACUUUGACCGGGAAAGCUGGGCCAGGUGCUCUUGUGCAGCCCAGCAAGGCAGAGCAGAGGUCUGAGAAGUAUGUCAGGGAGGAACCUGGCCUUGGGUCCGUGUGAAGGAGCGUGGAUGCCUGGGGAUGUGUUUCAUCAGAGAAAGGGUUGGCUCUGGGAUCUGUGAGAAGAGAACAUUCCCGGGAGGAAGUGUUGACUCUAUUCCUUUCUUGGAGCUAUCGGGUUCCCAGGAGUUGACUCAGAUUGGAAGUCUUCCAUCUUAAAAGAGGCUUGAAGGCGCAGCUGUGACUGGGGGGCAGCGACUGGCACCAUCUUCCAGAUCAUUCUGUCCCAACUGCCCGAUGUGUGGAAAUUGACGGGAAGGAACGUAAUGAGUCUGUGUCCUACUCCGCAGCCAAAGUGUGCAGCAAAACUUCUACCAGGAAAGAAGGCAAGUCUCAGAACUAGG